AACGGCCAUACCAUGCUGAAUAUACCGGUUCUCGUUAGAUCAGCAUCAUUGGGCGCGGUCAGUACUUGGGUGGGUGACCACCUGGGAACACCGCGUGCCGUU